GGAAAACGGAAGACGUCAUCGCCAUGGUAACAGAAAGACGCCUACUGUCAUGGCUGUAGCGCUGUGGCACAGGUUGCAACUAACAAGGAUCGCUGCUGCUUCCAGAAGACGAAAGUGUCCCACUUUUUUUUCACUCACAUGUUUUCCAAUCCUAUUAUCUGGCAUUUCAGAUCCAACAAAUGAAUGAAUGAAUUCUGUCAGUUGUGUUCAAAUUUUAAGGUGUCAGGGGGUGCACAAUUAAAUCAAACGUCAGCAGAGAAGAAGAUUUGUUUCUUUUGUUUUAUCUUUUUACACCACUAUUUUUGUGAUGUUCUGUCAGUGUGAAAAAGGCGUGGGAGAAAUAAAGGACGCAUGUGGAACUCACAUCAAUAUGUUUGUUUCCUCCUCCAUUUCAACGUUGCACUUCCUGAAAAAGUUGUCCAGAGUGAGCAUCGAUGCAGACUCGCUGUUUAAGGGCUGAACAGUCCACUCUCCCUCCGCACUACGCGGUUUGGGACGGCCCUUAAUAUGGAGGACCCUCCGCGGGAACGCGCAAACGGAGGGGUAGUGUGUAGGGGGCGGUUUGGGAUUCAGCCAUGGAUUGACGCAGAGCUUGUUAACAUAUUCCGAUACACUAGGUGGCGCUGUUCUGCUGUGCAUUGGUUUGGAUACUAGAGUAAACAAAACUUUAUUGGCAACCGCUACAAAUCCAGACUCGGUCCUCUAUCCCAAAUAUUGAUGUGGCGUGCGAAGUGCACGACAAAAUGUCAAAAACCUGCCCAGAGCUGCUGAGAGAAGCAGCGAAUUUGAUUGAGGAAGCUCUGAGCAGAACUCCUCCGGCUCCGGCGGCUCAGUCACAGCAGAUACCAGCUGCUCAAUCACGUACACCUGUCCAAGCCGAGGUAGCAAGGCUCUUUGCGCCGUACAACGGUGGAGCCAGAAGGAAAACGACGAGAAGACAGGCACAAGUCCAAGUUAGUCGAAGAAGCUACACAUACACACUGUCUGUUGUUUGGCUGACCACAACGCGGAUAAAGUUCCAAGCGUGCUGCUUAAAGCAGACCUCCUUACUUCAGGACUUGGAGAGCAAAAAGUGACAUUUUCAGGGAAUGACAAUGAUCCCAUGAUUAUAACAAAUAAACUGAUGGAAGUGUUUCCGAAGCUCAAAGAAGGGGGAGGCUUUGAAUUCUAAAAAUUGUAGGAUCUACUCGUAGCUGAAAUCUCGUGUUGCUUCCAUGUCCCAGCACUGGAUACACCCUUGCCUAUCUGAAAGAUCCAGCGACGAUGAUUGGACAGGCUCCACUCUACAUACGUCCACUUCAACAGGAUCUACCCAUAGAUUGUGAGAGCUCACAAACUGCCUCUGGUCCAGUCAUCCCCUGUAUCACUUGUCAGAAGGAAGUUCCCUUUUCAGAGAUGAAGCUGCACAGAUUGAGCUGCACUGGGACAUCCAUGCAGGAAUCAGAGAGAGAACAAGAGGGAGGACGAAGUGAAGAAAAUGAUAGAGAGACGGCCCCAGUCAGAGUGUUCCAGUGAGGCCUGGAACAUCAGCUGAAUGCAGUUGUAUCAGCAGUGAUUUACAUCGAGGACUUGGAUGACAAGGAAACAGACAAUGAAUGGAAGCUGAUUAAAGAACCAGCUCAAGCUGCCAAAGUUUUCAAAGAGAAUCUGCUAAGUGAACAUGCAUCUGGGAAACCACUGAGAAUGAAGAUGGAUGUGAGGGACUCUGAAGAGGAACGGGAACUUCUCUCUUUCUAUAAACAGCCGCAAGAAUGGGCAUGUCCACUUCACUGUACUUUUCUUGGUGAUGAUGUUGUUGGAGAGGGAGUGAUGCGGUACUUUAUGACAACAAUAAUAUCCAAACUGCAGUUUGGAUUCAGUCUAGAUCUUGGAGGAAUGGGCCGAACACUAUUUGAGGGUGAACCUGACCGUCUCGUUCCAGCAGCAUCAGAGGUGCUUAUUGAAAGCGACCUCUUCCCUGUUACAGGAAGGAUGUUGGCCCACAGCUUUCUGCAUGAUGGCCCCCAUGUCAGAGGAUUAAGUCCUGCUGUAGUUCAUGUACUGUUCAAUGGGGACCCUGAAACGGCAACUGUUGCUACAGAAGACUGUCCUGAUCUGGACAUCAGGAGUGUCAUAGAACUGCUUGAACAUGAAGAACUUACACCGGAACAGAAGGACACAGUUUCAGCUCUUUCCCUGUCUUGGGAUCUCCCGGCAGUCAACAGAACAAAUCGGAGAUGGCUGCAUAACAAAGUUCUACUGCAUGCAGCGAGUUCCUGAUGGUUAAGUGACAGAAUUCAUUGCUGUAGUUGUUGAAAUUAUAGAAAGUGUUGUGAACCCUGGUUAUGUUAUGUCAGCACUGGCAGAGAUGAAACAUUUAACAUAAUCCAUAGUCGUGUUAAAGUUCUUGAAAAACAGCAUUUAAUUCAUAAUAUACAGUUUAACUACAAUAACUAAUUUCACAAAUGACAUGGUAGGAAAAAAUGAUUAUACAAAAUGUAAUCCUUUACAAAAAAUCACACUACAGUACACUGAGAGCAGCUCAACACAUCUGGUUUUGUGAAUUUGCCUUUUGAUAAUAUACUUUAAAAAGGCGAUACAGUCAAAUGUCCACCACUCAGCACUAAAGACACCAGUUGCUGAAAUGUAUAAAAUGGAAUAUUCUAAAAUGUGUUAAGGGUUGAUAUAUUCUGUACUAGUCUGAAUGCAUUUGUAAAGCAGUUCAUUAUGCUUUUAUGAACAUUUUCCCUACUGUGCCAACUUUUGUAAAAGUUGUGUUGAGGAUUUGCUCUGUAGUAUGGUCGGGUUUGUCUCUUAGGUCAUUGGAGGACCAUGCGCCAAAUCAAACAGCUGAGAAAGGGACUGAAAGAUCAAAUCAAACUUUAUUUAUAAAGCACUUUUCAUACAAUAAAAAGCAGCUUAAAGUGCUGUACAACAUUUAAAAUAACAA